CUGAUGUACAUGCGGGACAAAAUGAGACUCAACUGCGACAUUCUAGGUACUUGUCCAAUUACUUAAGAAUUCCUGAUUAUAUUUCUGUAACUAUUAUUCUACCAACUAUAAUCAAAAUCUGCAGCAUGUGACAUUCCUGAACAUCCAUCACAGCCACCCUGUAACACCUGAAGGCGAAGGCCUGCCGCGCACUUGGUAAUACAUUAAGUUAUGCUGUCGGAGGCGCCAGAUUUGAUGCAACACAUAACGAGCCUUAGUUUGAAGCAAACGUAUGGUGGUGUAGGUCGAACUCCUCAACGACACAUGCGAGCAGCGAAUGAACUAUCUGAACAUUCUUGCAUUCUUACUUUCUUUUUUCUAUUUUUUCUCUUUGUUUCUGUCAUUCUUUCUUUGUUCUCUCUUUCUUUGUUCUUUCGUUCAUGCUUUUUUUUUUCGUUCCUUCUUUCGGUCUUUCUUACUUUCGUUUCAUGCUGCAUAUUCAGCCAUUGAAUCUUUACUUGCUUACGGUGGUAUGAGCAAUUCCUGAUGUUACAAUUUUUCGGGUAUUAGCCAUUGGGACGUGCCACUUAAGGCUUUCUUGUUAUAACAUAAUUACAAUUCAUUAUUAGACGUAAGAAAAUGCUACUUAAGUUCUAUUCGAUCCGUAGAGGAAGAGGAUAAAAUAUUUAUUCCAGGAAAUAAAAAAAAAACGCUUGUGUCGAGAGCUUCUGCUUCUCCUUGCUACUGCGUUGCGCCAGCGAGGUGGACUCAUCAGUCAAGCAGUCCUAUGACAAGCUCCGCCCGUCGGGCCUACCACACCAGCUGUUGCUUGUGACGCGGGUUCGAAGUGGAAAGCUUAGCCUCUCACUGUUCAGUGGUUCGGUUUGAGAUUAGCAGAAGGGUGGGAGUGUUGGGGCAAGCCCAUGUGGUGUCAUACAGCGAGGCAUACUCUCCACAGUCCGGACACUUGUGGCAGUACAAGAAAUUCACACACCCGGUUCUGUCACUACAGAAUGAAGCUCCCGCUUUACCGAGCAUUUUUUUUCAUCGCAUGGGCGCACUUCGCCUUUUGCACAACACCGUGCAAGGAUUCCUGCCUACGGGAAUGGUGCCCAGCGCAUAGGGAUCCAGCAACCAACGAAGCAAUUAGUGAUGCCGGUGUUGAUCCAGAGAUUCUGGUGAUUUUGGAGGAGCGAA